GCAAUUACCGUAAUAUUCAAAGUAAACGUCACAGAAAACGACAAUUGAACGCAAUUAGUGCAAGUUCACGGGCGUAUUUUGUUAUAAUUCGUUUAAUUCAACUAAAAAUCUAAUAAAAAUGAAUAAAAUCGAUAAAAUAUUAAUAAUUAUAACAUUAUUAAUAAUAAUACCAUCAAUAUUCACCCAGAUAUUAGCUGUACAAGAAAAUAAUUUGAUUAAACAACUCACAAAUGAUUUUGGAAGUAAAAAUAUACUUGAGGCUAAGGAGCAUACAAGAAAAUUGAUAAAAUCUGUGAUAUUACACGAUCAAAAUGGAAGAAACGCAGCCAUUUCACGUUUGACUGGUGAUGCGGUCAAUAUGGCCGCUGGAUUUGUUUUGAAUCCGAAUAAUAACAUUGAUCCACAGAUAAAAGCGAAAUUGAGUGAUACGCUAAUGGGUUAUGCUGCUAAGCAAUUAUUUAAAAACUUAUGAAGUAAAAAUGAUGAAAAUUUCGAGUUAUUUUGAGGUUAUGUAAAUUAAUAUUAAUUUUUAUAUGUUUUACGAGUUAAAUUUAAUAAACUACGCCUUAAGGUGUUAAAA